rnacentral:rRNA from 1 species
AGAGAUGUGUGAUGACGCAUAUCAAUAAGCGGAGGAAAAGAAACUAACAAGGAUUCCCUUAGUAACGGCGAGUGAAGCGGGAAGAGCUCAAAUUUGAAAUCUUCAAGGUUCUACCUUGACGAAUUGUAGUUUAUAGAAGUGUUUUCUGUUAGUAGAGUGGCAAAAGUUCUUUGGAAUAGGACAUCAUAGAGGGUGAGAAUCCCGUAUUUGGUCAUUCCUUUCUAGCUUUGUGAUACACUUUCAACGAGUCGGAUUGUUUGGGAAUGCAGUCCAAAAUGGGUGGUAAAUUUCAUCUAAAGCUAAAUAUUGGCGAGAGACCGAUAGCGAACAAGUACCGUGAGGGAAAGAUGAAAAGAACUUUGAAAAGAGAGUUAAACAGUACGUGAAAUUGUCAAAAGGGAAGCGUUUGACACCAGUGUUGUUUUUCCGAAAAUCAAUUACGAAUGUUUUAUUUUUGAGAAGUUAUGACUUCAUCGGCUUGCUUCUCUCUUUACUGAAACUUUCUUAAUGCACUUUUCGGUUAACAAGUCAACAUCAAUUUCUUUUGUUGUAAAAGGGUAUGAGGAAGGUGGCUUUCUUUUCGGAGAAAGUGUUUAUAGCCUUGUGACCUCUGCAAUCGGAGAGAUUGAGGUCUGCAGCGUAGAUCCUUCGGGGUUAGAUACAUUUGUGCUAAGUUAUAGCUUUUCAUAGACAACUUGUUGACUAUGUUAAGUCUUGUAGCUUACUCGCUUAUGCUAUUUUACCUACGCUUAGGAUGUUGAAGUCAUCGUAUCGCGC